CUCAUAUAGUUUUUCAAUCAUUGUAGGGAAGAAAAUGAUCUUUCAGCUAUUAAUGAUGUUAUCAUUAAUUGUUGCUAAAAAUGUAUAGUAAAACGUUAAUAUUAAGGUACAAUACAUCACAAUGUAUCGAUAGCGGUUUUGGGCUUUAGAUAUUCUAUGUUGGUCUAUUUUGACUUCAAGAGUUCUACUUCAGCUUGUAUUUCUAAGUCAAAAUUUAUUGGUAUAUUGUUAUCAUACUUUAUGUCACUUUUAAUAUGCCUUAUGUUUUAUAAUUAUUUUUGUUAGCAGGGAUUAAUUAUAAAAUUAUUAUUAUUACCUGACUACUUUGACCACAACCACUUGGUUAAAAAAAACCCUACAAUAUUUACGAAAACCGCCUUUUUUUAGAUCACUAUAAGCCAACCACGUGAACAUGUUCAAAAUUCUCUUUGAAAACUUCUAUUCUGAUUUCCAUAUUUGACAGUUGGAAAAUCAAAUCCAUGCAUUGGUGCCCAUGUAUUUUUUAAAAACAUUAAUUCGUUUUCAUCAUCAAUUUGUUCAUUGAGACAUAAACCAAUAUCAUAAGCAUUCAUACCCAAAGACUUAAUAUCAAAUAAAUUUAAAAGACAAACGUUUUUCUUUCUUAAGUCGGAAUUGAUCUUGAUAUCCUAAUUUUAUUUUAUUAUGAAAUACGGGAUUUUCCAUUGCGCCUGUACGUUAUUGAAUGGAAGUUUCAUAUCGUAAAUCGUAUUCAUAAUGUGUUAUUUAAACAGUG